UACGUAGGUGGCGAGCGUUGUCCGGAUUUCCUGGGCGUAAAGAGCGCGCAGGCGGUCGUGCAAGUCGCGUGUGAAAGCCCCCGGCUCAACUGGGGAGGGUCACGCGAUACUGCUCGACUCGAAGGCAGGAGAGGGAAGUGGAAUUCCCGGUGUAGUGGUGAAAUGCGUAGAUAUCGGGAGGAACACCAGUGGCGAAGGCGACUUCCUGGCCUGUUCUUGACGCUGAGGCGCGAAAGCUAGGGUAGCAAACGGG
rnacentral:rRNA from 1 species